rnacentral:lncRNA from 1 species
ACAAGGCUGGCAGGUAGUAGCUACCGUGCACACAUCCAUCCAUCUCAACGGGGUCGGGGGUGGCCGUGACAAAACCACAAGGCUUGUUUUGCAGAAACCUGCUCGCCCGGCUUUGGGAACGCCACUCGCGGGGCCAUGUUAAUUGUGGAAAACCCGGGGUGGCUCCGUGCUUUUAUGCGCACGCAACACAACAGCCGGCAAGCAAAAAAGGCAGAAGCGCGUCCGCCUCGUGCGUGCGUGCCUCCCAGACCGGCACGGCGCCACACCGACCACCAGUUUUUACCUCUCCCCGGUCCCCGGCUCUGCGCGCGUGAGUUCUGCUCCGGGGAGGCCGGCCGGGGUGGAGUGGGAGUGGAUGGCGAGGGUGAUGCACCGGUCGAGCUCGGNNN